rnacentral:rRNA from 1 species
UGGGGAAUAUUGGACAAUGGGCGCAAGCCUGAUCCAGCCAUGCCGCGUGUGUGAAGAAGGCCUUAUGGUUGUAAAGCACUUUAAGCGAGGAGGAGGCUACUUUAGUUAAUACCUAGAGAUAGUGGACGUUACUCGCAGAAUAAGCACCGGCUAACUCUGUGCCAGCAGCCGCGGUAAUACAGAGGGUGCAAGCGUUAAUCGGAUUUACUGGGCGUAAAGCGCGCGUAGGCGGCUAAUUAAGUCAAAUGUGAAAUCCCCGGGCUUAACUUGGGAAUUGCGUUGGAUACUGGUUAGCUAGAGGGUGGGAGAGGAUGGUAGAAUUCCAGGUGUGGCGGUGAAAUGCGUAGAGAUCUGGGGGAAUACCGAUGGCGAAGGCAGCCAUCUGGCCUAACACUGACGCUGAGGUGCGAAAGCGUGGGGAGCAAACAGG